rnacentral:rRNA from 1 species
UACGUAGGGGGGCAAGCGUUGUCCGGAUUUAUUGGGCGUAAAGAGCGUGUAGGCGGCCAGGUAGGUCUGGUGUGAAAACUCGAGGCUUAACCUCGAGAUGUCAUCGGAAACCAUUUGGCUAGAGUCCGGAGAGGAGAGUGGAAUUCCUGGUGUAGCGGUGAAAUGCGCAGAUAUCAGGAAGAACACCAAUGGCGAAAGCAGCUCUCUGGGACGGUACUGACGCUGAGACGCGAAAGCGUGGGGAGCGAACAGG